CGCGGGGUGGAGCAGUGGCAGCUCGGCGGGCUCAUAACCCGCAGGUCGCAGGUUCGACUCCUGCCCCCGCGAC
rnacentral:tRNA from 1 species